CCUACGGGAGGCAGCAGUGAGGAAUAUUGGUCAAUGGGCGGAAGCCUGAACCAGCCAAGUAGCGUGCAGGAUGACGGCCCUACGGGUUGUAAACUGCUUUUAUACGGGAAUAACGCGCCUUACGUGUAGGGCGUUGCAUGUAACGUAUGAAUAAGGACCGGCUAAUUCCGUGCCAGCAGCCGCGGUAAUACGGAAGGUCGGGGCGUUAUCCGGAUUUAUUGGGUUUAAAGGGAGCGUAGGCCGCAUGUCAAGCGUGCUGUGAAAUUGUCGGGCUCAACCCGGGCCUUGCAGCGUGAACUGGCGUGCGUGAGUCGGCGGAAAGCAGGCGGAAUUCGUGGUGUAGCGGUGAAAUGCUUAGAUAUGACGAAGAACCCCGAUUGCGAAGGCAGCUUGCUACAGCGGAACUGACGCUGAUGCUCGAAAGCGCGGGUAUCGAACAGGAUUAGAUACCCGGGUAGUC
rnacentral:rRNA from 1 species